CUGCUCUCUUUAGCAGCACAUAUGCUAAAGCUGAAAUGACACUGAGAAGAUUAUUGUGGCCCCUUUGCAAGGAUGCCAUGCAACUUCGUGAAGCAGUCCAUAUUUUU
ensembl:snRNA U6 U6 spliceosomal RNA